AAGUCGUAACAAGGUCUCCGUUGGUGAACCAGCGGAGGGAUCAUUACAGAGUUACCUAACUCCCAAACCCAUGUGAACUUACCACUGUUGCCUCGGCAGAUGUUGCUGGGCGAACCUACCCUGUAGCGAGCUACUCUGUAGCGACCUACCCGGGAACGGCUUACCCUGUAGCGCCUGCCGGUGGACUACUAAACUCUUGUUAUUUUAAGUAAUCUGAGCGUCUUAUUUUAAUAAGUCAAAA
rnacentral:misc_RNA from 1 species